rnacentral:rRNA from 1 species
AUUGAACGCUAGCGGGAUGCCUUACACAUGCAAGUCGAACGGAGUGGCGAACGGGUGAGUAAUGUAUCGGAACGUGCCCAGUAGAGGGGGAUAACUACGCGAAAGCGAAGCUAAUACCGCAUACGCGCGGAGCGGCGGAUCUGGGAUUAGCUAGUUGGUGGGGUAACGGCUCACCAAGGCGACGAUCCGUAGCUGGUUUGAGAGGACGACCAGCCACACUGGGACUGAGACACGGCCCAGACUCCUACGGGAGGCAGCAGUGGGGAAUUUUGGACAAUGGGGGAAACCCUGAUCCAGCCAUCCCGCGUGUGCGAUGAAGGCCUUCGGGUUGUAAAGCACUUUUGGCAGGAAAGCGGUACCUGCAGAAUAAGCACCGGCUAACUACGUGCCAGCCGCCGCGGUAAUUC